UGUCCCUGUCAAUUGGCUAAAAGACACCUUGUUGGUGGUGGUGUUCUUAUUAUCAGCCAGGGGCAAAGCAGAUGAUAGUCUUUUGGUCAUCUAGCUUGAUGCUUGGCUAGGUGGCUAAAGCUCCUUAUGCUCAGGACUCAUGA